GAUGAACGCUGGCGGCGUGCCUAAUACAUGCAAGUCGAGCGAACAGACGAGGAGCUUGCUCCUCUGACGUUAGCGGCGGACGGGUGAGUAACACGUGGAUAACCUACCUAUAAGACUGGGAUAACUUCGGGAAACCGGAGCUAAUACCGGAUAAUAUAUUGAACCGCAUGGUUCAAUAGUGAAAGACGGUUUUGCUGUCACUUAUAGAUGGAUCCGCGCCGCAUUAGCUAGUUGGUAAGGUAACGGCUUACCAAGGCAACGAUGCGUAGCCGACCUGAGAGGGUGAUCGGCCACACUGGAACUGAGACACGGUCCAGACUCCUACGGGAGGCAGCAGUAGGGAAUCUUCCGCAAUGGGAGAAAGCUUGACGGAGCAACGACGCGUGAGUGAUGAAGGUCUUCGGAUCGUAAAACUCUGUUAUUAGGGAAGAACAAAUGUGUAAGUAACUAUGCACGUCUUGACGGUACCUAAUCAGAGAGCCACGGCUAACUACGUG
rnacentral:rRNA from 1 species